UACAGAGGUGACUAACGUUGUCCGGAAUUAUUGGGCGUAAAGGGCGCGUAGGCGGUUGGGUAAGUCAGAUGUGAAAUGCCUGGGCUUAACUCAGGAGUUGCAUCUGAUACUGCUCGACUUGAGUACGGUAGAGGAAGGUGGAAUUCCCAGUGUAGCGGUGAAAUGCGUAGAUAUUGGGAGGAACACCGGUGGCGAAGGCGGCCUUCUGGACCGAAACUGACGCUGAAGCGCGAAAGCUAGGGGAG
rnacentral:rRNA from 1 species